CACUCUCCGCCUCUGGGGUGGACAUGUGAACACCGUCGCCAUCCAACAGUACGCAUGUCGAGGAUGACGACGGUGUUCACAUAUCCACCCCAGAGGCGGAGG
rnacentral:pre_miRNA from 1 species